rnacentral:rRNA from 1 species
CAUUAUCGAAUAAACUUGAACAGGUUGUUGCUGACCCUCAUGGGGUACUGUGCACGCUUGUCCACCUUUAUCAUUUCUCCAAUUGUGCACAUUUUGUAGACCCUGGAGGUUUUGAUUUUAGUCGAGUUGGGACUGCUGUGUUCUCUCUUUCAAGAGGCCAGCUUUACCUUGCAUUUUCCAGGUCUAUGUCACCUUUUCACAAUCUUAUAUAUGUUUAGAAUGUGUUGGAUCAUAAGUUGAAAUAUACAACUUUCAGCAACGGAUCUCUUGGCUCUCGCAUCGAUGAAGAACGCAGCGAAAUGCGAUAAGUAAUGUGAAUUGCAGAAUUCAGUGAAUCAUCGAAUCUUUGAACGCAUCUUGCGCUCCUUGGUAUUCCGAGGAGCAUGCCUGUUUGAGUGUCAUUUAACUUCUCAACCAUAUCGUUUGAUGUAUGUGGCUUGGACUUGGGGGUUGUUUGCAGGCUUUCACAAAGGUCGGCUCCCCUGAAAUGUAUUAGUGGUAUCUGAGCUCUAUUGCCUUUGGUGUGAUAAAUUAUCUAUGCCUUUGGUAUACUGCAUGAACAGAUUGUGCUGCUUCAAGAUGAAUUAUAUUUUUCUUGAUGAAUUUGACCUCAAAUCAGGUAGGACUACCCGCUGAACUUAA